GACGAACGCUGGCGGCGUGCUUAACACAUGCAAGUCGAACGGAAAGGCCCUGCUUUUGUGGGGUGCUCGAGUGGCGAACGGGUGAGUAACACGUGAGUAACCUGCCCUUGACUUUGGUAUAACUUCAGGAAACUGGGGCUAAUACCGGAUAGGAGCUCCUGCUGCAUGGUGGGGGUUGGAAAGUUUCGGCGGUUGGGGAUGGACUCGCGGCUUAUCAGCUUGUUGGUGGGGUAGUGGCUUACCAAGGCUUUGACGGGUAGCCGGCCUGAGAGGGUGACCGGCCACAUUGGGACUGAGAUACGGCCCAGACUCCUAGGGGAGGCAGCAGUGGGGAAUAUUGCACAAUGGGCGGAAGCCUGAUGCAGCAACGCCGCGUGCGGGAUGACGGCCUUCGGGUGGUAAACCGCUUUCGCCUGUGACGAAGCGUGAGUGACGGUAAUGGGUAAAGAAGCACCGGCUAACUACGUG
rnacentral:rRNA from 1 species